rnacentral:rRNA from 1 species
GCCUACGGGGCGCAGCAGUCGAGAAUCAUUCAUAAUGGGGGAAACCCUGAUGGUGCGACGCCGCGUGGGGGAAUGAAGGUCUUCGGAUUGUAGACCCCUGUCAUGUGGGAGCAAAUUAAAAAGAUAGUACCACAAGAGGAAGAGACGGCUAACUCUGUGCCAGCAGCCGCGGUAAUACAGAGGUCUCAAGCGUUGUUCGGAAUCACUGGGCGUAAAGCGUGCGUAGGCUGUUUCGUAAGUCGUGUGUGAAAGGCGCGGGCUCAACCCGCGGACGGCACAUGAUACUGCGAGACUAGAGUAAUGGG